CGAGGACCCCCGCAGUGAGCCAGCUGCUAUAGAGUUUGUCAGAGCUAGCCAGAGGUGAGUGGAAUAAACCUUAAGUUUAAAUUAAUGAAAUAUGAAUUUUGAGCAUAACCAUGCAUCAUGAAUGUCAUGUGAUAUUUUAGGUUGUUUGCAUUAGAUUCCACGAAUAUGUUGCAUUGCAUACUUGAUGAUGUUGUGGAUGGGCAUUGAAUGAUCCUUUAGUCCUUGAUAUGUUAUGAUGAGGCAUGUUAUGGUAUGGUUGCCGGUUGUACCCAUUCUACGUCCCGGCCAGAGUAAGAGAAAGACCGGGUUGUACCCAUUCUACGUCCCUGGCAUCUUGGAACGUUAUGUUAUGUUAUAGUAAGAGGAAGUCCGGUUGUACCCAUUCUACGUCCCGGCAUUUUGGAAUGUAGAGGACUAGAGGUGACAAUACCAUCCUUAUGUGAUAUGAUUGUGAUGUGUUGCAUUUCAUGUAAGCAUAAGAUUUUAAUAUAUGUUUUUCCUAUUCUGCUCACUGGGCUUUGUAGCUCACCCCUCUCCCCUAACCCCAGAUGUGCAGGUACAGGGUAGACCAGGAGGUUAGCCAGAGUUUUGAAGGAUGUUUAUGUAAUAGUUAGGUUGUGGACAUGACAAUUGUACUAUGAUGUAAUGUAAAAGAUUAUAGCAUGUUAUGUAAUGAGAUAUAUUGAGGUUAUAGUUGUGCUUGACCCUAUG
rnacentral:lncRNA from 1 species